GAUCCUGGCUCAGGACGAACGCUGGCGGCGUGCCUAACACAUGCAAAUCGAACGAAGCACUUCUGAAUGGAGAUUCGUCGAAGUUCAGAUUUGACUUAGUGGCGGACGGGUGAGUAAUGCAUUAGCAACCUGCCCUGCAGUGGGGGACAACAGUUGGAAACGACUGCUAAUACCGCAUGAUGUAUCUGGAAGGCAUCUUCCGGAUACCAAAGAUUUAUCGCUGUGGGAUGGG
rnacentral:rRNA from 1 species